GCAUGAGACCACGGGGACCUCGGUCCCUGCGGUAAAAAGGAGGCCUCUGUACACAAGCUUCCACCCUCGGAGGGGCCCGCGGCCCAUCAGCUAGUUGGCGGGGUAACGGCCCACCAAGGCUACGACGGGUAGCUGGUCUGAGAGGACAAUCAGCCACACUGGAACUGAGACACGGUCCAGACUCCUACGGGAGGCAGCAGUGGGGAAUUUUGCGCAAUGGGCGAAAGCCUGACGCAGCAACGCCGCGUGAGUGACGAAGGUCUUCGGAUCGUAAAGCUCUUUCGGCCGGGACGAAACCGCGCUGGCCAAUAUCCAGCGCCUUGACGGUACCGGAAGAAGAAGCACCGGCUAACUCUGUGCCAGCAGCCGCGGUAAUACAGAGGGUGCUAGCGUUGUUCGGAAUUAUUGGGCGUAAAGCGCGUGUAGGCGGUGAUGCAUGUCGGGUGUGAAAAGCCCUUC
rnacentral:rRNA from 1 species